AUGGCUAUAUCAUGUUGAAAUACUGGUUCUCAUACAAUCACCAAAGUUAAGCAAUGUCAAGCCUGGCCAGUACCUAAAUGGGUGACAGCUUGGGAAUAGUAGGUGCUGUAA